rnacentral:rRNA from 1 species
UGAGGAAUAUUGGACAAUGGGCGCAAGCCUGAUCCAGCCAUGCCGCGUGCAGGAAGAAGCAUCUAUGGUGUGUAAACUGCUUUUGUACGGGAAGAAACACUCCUACGUGUAGGAGCUUGACGGUACCGUAAGAAUAAGGGUCGGUUAACUCCGUGCCAGCAGCCGCGGUAAUACGGAGGAACCAAGCGUUAUCCGGACUCAUUGUGGUUAAAGGGUCCGUAGGCGGUUUAAUAAGUCAGUGGUGAAAGCCCAUCGCUCAACGAUGGAACGGCCAUUGAUACCGGUAGACUUGAAUUACAAGGAAGUAGCUAGAAUAUGUAGUGUAGCGGUGAAAUGCUUAGAUAUUACAUGGAAUACCAAUUGCGAAGGCAGGUUACUACUGAUGGCUUGACGCUAAUGGACGAAAGCGUGGAAAGCGAAC